rnacentral:rRNA from 1 species
GAUGAACGCUGGCGGCGUGCCUAAUACAUGCCAGUCGAGCGAACAGACGAGGAGCUUGCUCCUCUGACGUUAGCGGCGGACGGGUGAGUAACACGUGGAUAACCUACCUAUAAGACUGGGAUAACUUCGGGAAACCGGAGCUAAUACCGGAUAAUAUAUUGAACCGCAUGGUUCAAUAGUGAAAGACGGUUUUGCUGUCACUUAUAGAUGGAUCCGCGCCGCAUUAGCUAGUUGGUAAGGUAACGGCUUACCAAGGCAACGAUGCGUAGCCGACCUGAGAGGGUGAUCGGCCACACUGGAACUGAGACACGGUCCAGACUCCUACGGGAGGCAGCAGUAGGGAAUCUUCCGCAAUGGGCGAAAGCCUGACGGAGCAACGCCGCGUGAGUGAUGAAGGUCUUCGGAUCGUAAAACUCUGUUAUUGGGGAAGAACAAAUGUGUAAGUAACUAUGCACGUCUUGACGGUACCUAAUCAGAAGGCCACGGCUAACUACGUG